UAAUACGGAGGGUGCAAGCGUUGUCCGGAUUUAUUGGGUUUAAAGGGUGCGUAGGCGGCUGAAUAAGUCAGCGGUGAAAGACUUCGGCUUAACCGGAGCAGUGCCGUUGAUACUGUUUAGCUUGAGUGUUGGAGGGGUACAUGGAAUUGAUGGUGUAGCGGUGAAAUGCAUAGAUACCAUCAGGAACACCGAUAGCGAAGGCAUUGUACUGGCCAACAACUGACGCUGAGGCACGAAAGUGUGGGGAUCGAACAGG
rnacentral:rRNA from 1 species